UACGCAGGUGGCGAGCGUUGUCCGGAAUCACUGGGCGUAAAGGGUGCGUAGGCGGCUGGGUAAGUCGCAGGUUAAAGCCCGGGGCUCAACCUCGGAAAGGCCUGCGAUACUGCCUGGCUUGAGGGCCGGAGAGGCUGGCGGAAUUCCCGGUGUAGGGGUGAAAUCCGUAGAUAUCGGGAGGAACACCGGUGGGGAAGACGGCCAGCUGGACGGUCCCUGACGCUGAGGCACGAAAGCGUGGGGAGUAAACCGG
rnacentral:rRNA from 1 species